rnacentral:rRNA from 1 species
UUGGUUAAGCUACUAAGAGCACACGGAGGAUGCCUAGGCGCCAGGAGCCGACGAAGGACGUGGCGAACAACGAAACUGCCUCGGGGAGCUGUAAGCAAGCUUUGAUCCGGGGGUGUCCGAAUGGGGAAACCCAGCUGUGGUAAUUCGCAGUUACUCGUAUCUGAAUACAUAGGAUACGCAGAGGCAGACCAGGGGAACUGAAACAUCUAAGUACCCUGAGGAAGAGAAAACAAUAGUGAUUCCGUCAGUAGCGGCGAGCGAACGCGGAACAGCCUAAACCAAGGGGCUUGCCUCUUGGGGUUGUGGGACGUCUCACAUGGAGUUACAAAGGAAUAUGGUAGGUGAAGAGGUCUGGAAAGGCCCGCGAUAGAGGUAAAAGCCCUGUAGCCUAAACUGUGUUCUCUCCGAGACGGAUCCCGAGUAGUGCGGGGCACGUGAAACCCCGUAUGAAUCCAGCAGGACCAUCUGCUAAGGCUAAAUACUACCUGGCGACCGAUAGUGAAACAGUACCGUGAGGGAAAGGUGAAAAGCACCCCGGAAGGGGAGUGAAAUAGAACCUGAAACCGUGUGCUUACAAAAAGUCAGAGCCCUCUUUAUGGG